CUCCAGAUCCACUUUCCUGCAGAGUUCAGCUCCGACCCUAAUCACACACAGCUGAACAAGCUCAUCAAGCUCUUCAGGUCAGUUUGAUCCAGGUUGAAGCUAAAUUGCAAGAAAGUGGACCUCAGGAGUCAGAGUUGAGAAAGCCUGGAGCAGACUUAGCAGUUAGCAUGCAGUGUAUUAAUGCACGCUAUCAGUAGUUAACUGCUACUUAAUGUGGUCACUUAUGACCAAGUUAUGUGAACAAAUGAGUGAGGUGUUCUGGAAACAGAUCACACUGACCACCGUCACCAUCAGCAUGAGCACAAACACAGCCACAGACGCCAGCACCGCCGUCAGCACGCUGCUCUGAGCAGAGCUCUUAAACUGGCACCUGUCGCCGUAAUGCCACCAGUCCUGUCCCACCACACACCUGCACACACACACACACACACACACACACACGCGCGCGCGCUUCAGCUGUUACUGAAGACUGAACACUGAACAUGACAAGCACUAAACUCCUGCUCACUUAUCC
rnacentral:lncRNA from 1 species